rnacentral:rRNA from 1 species
CCUACGGGAGGCAGCAGUGGGGAAUAUUGCGCAAUGGGGGAAACCCUGACGCAGCAACGCCGCGUGAGUGAGGAAGUAUCUCGGUAUGUAAAGCUCUAUCAGCGGGGAAGAAGGUAGCCGGUACCCGCCUAAGAAGCCCCGGCUACCGACGUGCCAGCAGCCGCGGUAAUACGUAGGGGGCAGGCGUUAUCCGGAUUUACUGGGGGUAAAGGGGGCGUAGACGGCGUCGCAAGUCUGAAGUGAAAGCCCGUGGCUCAACCGCGGAACCGCUUUGGAAACUGCUAGGCUGGAGUGCUGGAGAGGUAGGCGGAAUUCCUGGUGUAGCGGUGAAAUGCGUAGAUAUCAGGAGGAACACCGGUGGCGAAGGCGGCUUACUGGACUGUGACUGACGUUGAGGCUCGAAGGCGUGGGGAGCGAACAGGAUUAGAUACCCGGGUAGUC